AACGAACGCUGGCGGCGUGCCUAAUACAUGCAAGUCGAACGGCAGCACGGGUGCUUGCACCUGGUGGCGAGUGGCGAACGGGUGAGUAAUAUAUCGGAACGUACCUUAUUGUGGGGGAUAACGCAGCGAAAGCUGUGCUAAUACCGCAUAAUCCCUAAGGGGGAAAGCGGGGGACCGUAAGGCCUCGCGCAAUUAGAGCGGCCGAUACCUGAUUAGCUAGUUGGUGAGGUAAAGGCUCACCAAGGCAACGAUCAGUAGCUGGUCUGAGAGGACGAUCAGCCACACUGGGACUGAGACACGGCCCAGACUCCUACGGGAGGCAGCAGUGGGGAAUUUUGGACAAUGGGGGCAACCCUGAUCCAGCAAUGCCGCGUGAGUGAAGAAGGCCUUCGGGUUGUAAAGCUCUUUUGUCAGGGAAGAAACAGCAGCUCUAACACAGGUUGCGAAUGACGGUACCUGAAGAAUAAGCACCGGCUAACUACGUGCCAGCCGCCGCGGUAA
rnacentral:rRNA from 1 species